rnacentral:rRNA from 1 species
CAAUAGCGUAUAUUAAAGUUGUUGCAGUUAAAAAGCUCGUAGUUGGAUUUCUGGUAGGAGUGACCGUUCCGAACUUGAUUGUUCGUGUAUUGUGUUUUCUCCAGCCAUCCUUGUGGAGAACUUUUCUUGCAUUAAUUUGUAGGGAUUGGGACCCGCAUCGUUUACUGUGAAAAAAUUAGAGUGUUUAAAGCAGGCAAUCGCUUGAAUACAUUAGCAUGGAAUAAUAAGAUAGGACUUUGGUACUAUUUUGUUGGUUUGCAUACCAAAUUAAUGAUCAACAGGAACAGUUUGAGGAUAUUCGUACGAACAUGUCAGAGGUGAAAUUCUUGGAUUUUGAUCAGACGAACUACUGCGAAAGCAUUUAUCAAGGAUGUUUUCAUUAA